rnacentral:lncRNA from 1 species
UUGGUGACUGGGAGCAUAUCCUUAGUAGAGCUCCAAUGUGGACUAGGGGUGGCAUUUGCCUACUAAUACCACGGAAUAAACCAUCGUGCCGAGUUUGCAUCCUUUCUAGCCAACUCCUUUACAUUUUGCAUUUCUUACUUGCAACUUGAGUGCCUUUACUUUCUAGAGUAGUAUCUUGUUAGGAUUAACUCUUUGUUGGUAGGAAGUUUAACUAGAUGGAUCUAUGCACAUAUAGAUAGUAUGAUCUAUUUAUAUUUAAUUGCAAGUAGUGGAAUCCAUAGGCUAUGGAUUUUAAAUUUGCCUAAUUCACCCCCUUCCCC